rnacentral:piRNA from 3 species
UGACUCAGGGAACCUCUAUUUCUGCCAA